rnacentral:rRNA from 1 species
UACGUAGGGUGCGAGCGUUUGUCCGGAAUUACUGGGCGUAAAGAGCUCGUAGGUGGUUUGUCGCGUUGUUCGUGAAAACUCACGGCUUAACUGUGACGUGCGGGCGAUACGGGCAGACUGGAGUACUGCAGGGGAGACUGGAAUUCCUGGUGUAGCGGUGGAAUGCGCAGAUAUCAGGAGGAACACCGGUGGCGAAGGCGGGUCUCUGGGCAGUAACUGACGCUGAGGAGCGAAAGCGUGGGGAGCGAACAGG